CAUGUCCUUUUGAGAAUAAUUUAAGGUCUAAUCUGCUCAAUGAAAGUUAAAUUGCCGCAGUAUUUUGACUGUGCAAAGGUAGCAUAAUAAUUAGCUUCUUGAUUAGAAGCUGGAAUGAAUGAUUGGACAAGAAAAUUUCUGUCUCUAUUUAAUUGUUUAUUGAAUUUUAUUUUUAAGUUAAAAAGCUUAAAUAUAUAUAAAAGACGAGAAGACCCUAGAGAGUUUAAUAUUUUAAUUUUAUUUAAUUUUAGUAUACUUUUUAAAAUUUAAUAUAUUUAAUUGGGGUGAUUUAAAGAUUAAAAUAAUUCUUUAAUUUUUUAAUUGAUGAUAAUUAAAUUAUAAAUCUAUAUUUUUAAAUUUAAUAUAAAUUACCUUAGGGAUAACAGCGUAAUUUUUCUUUAAAGCUCUUAUUAAAAGAAGAUUUUGCGACCUCGAUGUUGGAUUAAAAUUAAUUUUUGGUGCAGUAACUUAAAAAUUUGGUCUGUUCGACCUUUAAAAUUUUACAUGAUCUGAGUUUAAACCGGUGUAAGCCAGGUUGGAUUCUAUCUUUAAAUUUUUUAAAUAUUUUAGUACGAAAGGACCAAAUAUUUGUUAAAUUAAUUG
rnacentral:rRNA from 2 species